rnacentral:rRNA from 1 species
CAUGCAAGUCGAGGGGAGACGACAUCGAAAGCUUGCUUUUGAUGGGCGUCGACCGGCGCACGGGUGAGUAACGCGUAUCCAACCUGCCCAUCACUUGGGGAUAACCUUGCGAAAGUAAGACUAAUACCCAAUGAUAUCUCUAGAAGGCAUCUGAAAGAGAUUAAAGAUUUAUCGGUGAUGGAUGGGGAUGCGUCUGAUUAGCUUGUUGGCGGGGUAACGGCCCACCAAAGCAACGAUCAGUAGGGGUUCUGAGAGGAAGGUCCCCCACAUUGGAACUGAGACACGGUCCAAACUCCUACGGGAGGCAGCAGUGAGGAAUAUUGGUCAAUGGACGAGAGUCUGAACCAGCCAAGUAGCGUGCAGGAUGACGGCCCUAUGGGUUGUAAACUGCUUUUAUAAGGGAAUAAAGUGAGUCUCGUGAGACUUUUUGCAUGUACCUUAUGAAUAAGGACCGGCUAAUUCCGUGCCAGCAGCCGCGGUAAUACGGAAGGUCCGGGCGUUAUCCGGAUUUAUUGGGUUUAAAGGGAGCGUAGGCCGGAGAUUAAGCGUGUUGUGAAAUGUAGAUGCUCAACAUCUGCACUGCAGCGCGAACUGGUUUCCUUGAGUACGCACAAAGUGGGCGGAAUUCGUGGUGUAGCGGUGAAAUGCUUAGAUAUCACGAAGAACUCCGAUUGCGAAGGCAGCUCACUGGAGCGCAACUGACGCUGAAGCUCGAAAGUGCGGGUAUCGAACAGGAUUAGAUACCCUGGUAGUCCGCACGGUAAACGAUGGAUGCCCGCUGUUGGUCUGAAUAGGUCAGCGGCCAAGCGAAAGCAUUAAGCAUCCCACCUGGGGAGUACGCCGGCAACGGUGAAACUCAAAGGAAUUGACGGGGGCCCGCACAAGCGGAGGAACAUGUGGUUUAAUUC